GACGAACGCUGGCGGCGUGCCUAACACAUGCAAGUCGAACGGAAGUAAGUGCUUCGGUAUUUACUUUAGUGGCGAACGGGUGAGUAACGCGUGAGGAACCUGCCUUUCAGAGGGGGAUAACAGCCGGAAACGGCUGCUAAUACCGCAUAAUGCAUUGGAUUCGCAUGUUUCUGAUGCCAAAGAUUUUAUCGCUGAAAGAUGAGCUCGCGUCUGAUUAGCUAGUUGGCGGGGUAACGGCCCACCAAGGCGACGAUCAGUAGCCGGACUGAGAGGUUGAACGGCCACAUUGGGACUGAGACACGGCCCAG
rnacentral:rRNA from 1 species